AUAGAAACUAACUUGGGAAUGUUUCGAAAUUUUCGAAGAAUUGUUUGAUAUGGAGUUGAUCGGUGCAUGAUUAAUUAAGCUAGAAACUGAAAUUUUAAAAUGAUGAUCAGGGCUUAUGGUAUAUAUAGUUUGAUAUCUUGAAGUCCUUAAUUAGGAUUUGGCAUAAAUUUUCCAUGUUUUCAAUGCCAUAGGUAAUGCAAUUG
rnacentral:misc_RNA from 1 species